rnacentral:rRNA from 1 species
UUCCGCGUGCAGGAUGAAGGCCCUCGGGUUGUAAACUGCUUUUGUACAGAACGAAAAGGUUUCUAUUAAUACUAGGAGCUCAUGACGGUACUGUAAGAAUAAGCACCGGCUAACUACGUGCCAGCAGCCGCGGUAAUACGUAGGGUGCAAGCGUUAAUCGGAAUUACUGGGCGUAAAGCGUGCGCAGGCGGUUAUAUAAGUCAGAUGUGAAAUCCCCGGGCUCAACCUGGAACUGCAUUUGAGACUGUAUAGCUAGAGUACGGUAGAGGGGGAUGGCAAUUCCGCGUGUAGCAGUGAAAUGCGUAGAUAUGCGAGGAACACCGAUGCGAAGGCAAUCCCCUGGACCUGUACUGACGCUCAUGCACGAAAGCGUGGGGAGCAAACAGAUUAGAUACCCUGGUAGUCCACGCCCUAAACGAUGUCAACUGGUUGUUGGGUCUUAACUGACUCAGUAACGAACGUAACGCGUGAA